rnacentral:rRNA from 1 species
AUUGAACGCUGGCGGCAGGCCUAACACAUGCAAGUCGAGCGGUAGCACGGGAGAGCUUGCUCUCUGGGUGACGAGCGGCGGACGGGUGAGUAAUGUCUGGGGAUCUGCCUGAUGGAGGGGGAUAACUACUGGAAACGGUAGCUAAUACCGCAUAACGUCGCAAGACCAAAGAGGGGGACCUUCGGGCCUCUUGCCAUCAGAUGAACCCAGAUGGGAUUAGCUAGUAGGUGAGGUAAUGGCUCACCUAGGCGACGAUCCCUAGCUGGUCUGAGAGGAUGACCAGCCACACUGGAACUGAGACACGGUCCAGACUCCUACGGGAGGCAGCAGUGGGGAAUAUUGCACAAUGGGCGCAAGCCUGAUGCAGCCAUGCCGCGUGUAUGAAGAAGGCCUUCGGGUUGUAAAGUACUUUCAGCGAGGAGGAAGGCAUUAAGGUUAAUAACCUUGGUGAUUGACGUUACUCGCAGAAGAAGCACCGGCUAACUCCGUGCCAGCAGCCGCGGUAAUACGGAGGGUGCAAGCGUUAAUCGGAAUUACUGGGCGUAAAGCGCACGCAGGCGGUUUGUUAAGUCGGAUGUGAAAUCCCCGGGCUCAACCUGGGAACUGCAUUCGAAACUGGCAAGCUUGAGUCUUGUAGAGGGGGGUAGAAUUCCAGGUGUAGCGGUGAAAUGCGUAGAGAUCUGGAGGAAUACCGGUGGCGAAGGCGGCCCCCUGGACAAAGACUGACGCUCAGGUGCGAAAGCGUGGGGAGCAAACAGGAUUAGAUACCCUGGUAGUCCACGCCGUAAACGAUGUCGACUUGGAGGUUGUGCCCUUGAGGCGUGGCUUCCGGAGCUAACGCGUUAAGUCGACCGCCUGGGGAGUACGGCCGCAAGGUUAAAACUCAAAUGAAUUGACGGGGGCCCGCACAAGCGGUGGAGCAUGUGGUUUAAUUCGAUGCAACGCGAAGAACCUUACCUACUCUUGACAUCCAGAGAACUUUCCAGAGAUGGAUUGGUGCCUUCGGGAACUCUGAGACAGGUGCUGCAUGGCUGUCGUCAGCUCGUGUUGUGAAAUGUUGGGUUAAGUCCCGCAACGAGCGCAACCCUUAUCCUUUGUUGCCAGCGGUCCGGCCGGGAACUCAAAGGAGACUGCCAGUGAUAAACUGGAGGAAGGUGGGGAUGACGUCAAGUCAUCAUGGCCCUUACGAGUAGGGCUACACACGUGCUACAAUGGCGCAUACAAAGAGAAGCGACCUCGCGAGAGCAAGCGGACCUCAUAAAGUGCGUCGUAGUCCGGAUUGGAGUCUGCAACUCGACUCCAUGAAGUCGGAAUCGCUAGUAAUCGUAGAUCAGAAUGCUACGGUGAAUACGUUCCCGGGCCUUGUACACACCGC